AAAACAGGCUGGCCUGGAAUAUCUUUCCACGUACAUUCUUUCUACAAAGCAGAGCUAGGACUAAUAAGUCAAGAUUUUACUUUGGGUAUGUCUGAAACAAAGAAGGAUUAAAGUGCAAGCAGAAUGAGAGAUGGUCCCACCAAACCCUGAUGGGUGGAAAAAUAAGAUACUUUGGAGAAAUCAAGGUCACACAGCUACUAUGGAUGGAAUUGGGACUUGGGCUCUUAUCUGUUAAACUCCUAAAUUUAUGUGCUUUCUCCAGUUUUUCUUUUCACUUUGAUGGAAAUUUUCUAGUGUUUCAAUGUUAUGCAUGACAGGCAAGUUACUGUUCAACUCCUAGUUAAGAAGAAGCAUUUGCAAUGAAUAGUUAUCUAAUUUUAUCAAUUGUAUUUUAGGGUAUUGAGAUGAUUACAGUUUUUUUUGAAUUUUCUAAUAUACUAACAAAAUUUAUUUUAUGGACAGAUUUUAUAAUGUUAAACCAUCCUUGCAUUUCUGAAAUAUACUUUAUUUAGAGAAGGUUGUUAUUCUUUUUAUAUAUGGUGGGAUGCAAUUUGUUAAUUUACUCCCCUUGAUUAAUUUUCUCAUGUAAGACAAGUCCUUAUCCAUUUUAUUUUUAGAUUUUUAAGUACUUUGUUUUAAAUGUGUGUCUUUUAGAAACAGAGUUGAGCUGAAUUCCUUUUUUUUUUUUUUUGGUUGAUUUAAGAAUAUUAUGGGUGAUAGGUGCACCAAAAUCCCAGAAUUCACCACUAAAUACUUCAUCCACAUAACAAAAAACCACUUAUAUCCCAAAAGCUAUUGAAAUUUUUAAAAAUAAAAUAAAUAAAAAAUGAUGCACA
rnacentral:lncRNA from 10 species